UGCAAGUCGAGCGGUAACAGGUGUAGCAAUACAUGCUGACGAGCGGCGGACGGGUGAGUAACGCUUGGGAAUCUGCCUGUUAGUGGGGGACAACCCGGGGAAACUCGGGCUAAUACCGCAUACGCACUACGGUGGAAAGCCGGGGACCGCAAGGCCUGGCGCUAACAGAUGAGCCCAAGUCGGAUUAGCUAGUUGGUAGGGUAACGGCCCACCAAGGCGACGAUCCGUAACUGGUCUGAGAGGACGACCAGUCACACCGGAACUGAGACACGGUCCGGACUCCUACGGGAGGCAGCAGUGGGGAAUAUUGGACAAUGGGCGAAAGCCUGAUCCAGCGACGCCGCGUGGGCGAAGAAGGCCUGCGGGUUGUAAAGCCCUUUCGGUGGGGAAGAAAAGCCUCGAGCUAAUACCUCGGGGUCUUGACGUAACCCAUAGAAGAAGCACCGGCUAACUCUGUGCCAGCAGCCGCGGUAAUACAGAGGGUGCGAGCGUUAAUCGGAAUUACUGGGCGUAAAGCGCGCGUAGGCGGCUUUGCAAGUCGGGUGUGAAAUCCCCAGGCUUAACCUGGGAACUGCAUUCGAGACUGCAUUGCUAGAGUAUGGGAGAGGGAAGUGGAAUUUCCGGUGUAGCGGUGAAAUGCGUAGAUAUCGGAAGGAACAUCAGUGGCGAAAGCGACUUCCUGGACCAAUACUGACGCUCAUGUGCGAAAGCGUGGGGAGCAAACAGGAUUAGAUACCCUGGUAGUCCACGCCAUAAACGAUGAGAACUGGAUGUCGGGAGGGUCUGCCUCUCGGUGUCGUAGCUAACGCGUUAAGUUCUCCGCCUGGGGAGUACGGCCGCAAGGUUGAAACUCAAAUGAAUUGACGGGG
rnacentral:rRNA from 1 species